CGGACAGCCGCUGGCGUCACGUCAGAGGAAAGUCCAUGCUCGCACGAUCUGUGAUGAUCGUAGUGUUUGUGCUGGAUGAAACGAUAAAUCCAGGCAGGUUUCUACCUGACGGCUGCAUCGAUGCCUGAGGCGAAAGCGAUGGCAAAGAUGCUGUAAAAGUGCCACAGAGACGAGCCUGCAUGGAAACAUGCAGGGUGGAACGGGUAAACCCCACAAGCGAGAAACCCAAAUUUGGUAGGGGAGCCGGCGGAUGCGAAUACGAAGCAGACGCGGGACACAGAAAUGUGUAGAUAAAUGGCUGUCGCCCGCAAGGGAACAGAACAUGGCUUACAG
rnacentral:RNase_P_RNA from 1 species